rnacentral:rRNA from 1 species
UACGUAGGGGGCAAGCGUUGUCCGGAAUCAUUGGGCGUAAAGCGCGUGUAGGCGGCCCGAUAAGUCCGCUGUGAAAGUCCAGGGCUCAACCCUGGAAUGCCGGUGGAUACUGUCGGGCUCGAGUCCGGAAGAGGCGAGUGGGAAUUCCGUGGUGUAGCGGUGAAAUGCGCAGAUAUCAGGAGGAACACCAAUGGCGAAGGCAGCUCGCUGGGACGGUACUGACGCUGAGACGCGAAAGCGUGGGGAGCAAACAGG